rnacentral:rRNA from 2 species
UGGGGAAUAUUGCACAAUGGGCGCAAGCCUGAUGCAGCCAUGCCGCGUGUAUGAAGAAGGCCUUCGGGUUGUAAAGUACUUUCAGCGGGGAGGAAGGGAGUAAAGUUAAUACCUUUGCUCAUUGACGUUACCCGCAGAAGAAGCACCGGCUAACUCCGUGCCAGCAGCCGCGGUAAUACGGAGGGUGCAAGCGUUAAUCGGAAUUACUGGGCGUAAAGCGCACGCAGGCGGUUUGUUAAGUCAGAUGUGAAAUCCCCGGGCUCAACCUGGGAACUGCAUCUGAUACUGGCAAGCUUGAGUCUCGUAGAGGGGGGUAGAAUUCCAGGUGUAGCAGUGAAAUGCGUAGAGAUCUGGAGGAAUACCGGUGGCGAAGGCGGCCCCCUGGACGAAGACUGACGCUCAGGUGCGAAAGCGUGGGGAGCAAACAGG